rnacentral:rRNA from 1 species
GAUGAACGCUAGCGGCAGGCUUAAUACAUGCAAGUCGAGGGGCAGCAGGUUUGUAGCAAUACAGAUGCUGGCGACCGGCACACGGGUGCGGAACACGUACAGAACCUUCCUUUCAGCGGUUACUAGCCCGGGGAAACACGGAUUAAUACCCCAUAGUAUGGUGGAGAGGCAUCUCUCUUUAAUUAAAGAUUUAUCACUGAAAGAUGGCUGUGCGGCUGAUUAGAUAGUUGGCGGGGUAACGGCCCACCAAGUCGGAGAUCAAUAACUGGCGUGAGAGAACGACCAGUCAGACGGGCACGGGGACACGGGCCCGACUCCUACGGGAGGAAGCAGUAAGGAAUAUUGGUCAAUGGAGGCAAGGCUGACCCAGCCAUGCCGCGUGGGGGAUGAAGGUCCUCUGGAUUGUAAACUUCUUUUAUAUGGGACGAAAAAGGAUUUUUCUAAAUCAACUGACGGUACCAGAUGAAUAAGCACCGGCUAACUCCGUGCCAGCAGCCGCCGUAAGAC